rnacentral:lncRNA from 1 species
GGGUCAUUAGCAGGAUCGAAGGCCAUAUUCUGGUAGUUGAGCAGGGUAACCGUCAGCGUUCGCGGCACUGCACUCCAUCUUUGUAUUCCGGUUUUAUCUUGUAUAUAAAUAUACAUUGUUAGUCCAGUAGUAGUGUCCCUACUCAUUAGAUGCUCGUGACUUGUGACACCCCCGUCGGCUUGUAUUGGAAUGAAACUUCAUAGUUAAAUGUCAUUAAGUAAUAUUUCUAUUCUAUUAUGUUUAAUAACUGCUUUAAGAGGAUUUGGGGUUGUUGGCUGGCCUUGUCUUCACGAGAGGCGUCAUCACGACUGGGUAUGGAAUUUGG